rnacentral:rRNA from 1 species
CCUACGGGAGGCAGCAGUGAGGAAUAUUGGUCAAUGGACGAGAGUCUGAACCAGCCAAGUAGCGUGAAGAAUGACUGCCCUAUGGGUUGUAAACUUCUUUUAUAUGGGAAUAACAUGUUCCACGUGUGGGAUUUUGUAUGUACCAUAUGAAUAAGGAUCGGCUAACUCAGUGCCAGCCGCCGCGGUAAUACGGAGGAUCCGAGCGUUAUCCGGAUUUAUUGGGUGUAAAGGGAACGUAGGUGGAUGUUUGAGUCAGUUGUGAAAGUGUGCGGCUCAACCGUAAAAUUGCAGUUGAAACUGGCAGUCUUGAGUACAGUAGAGGUGGGCGGAAUUCGUGGUGUAGCGGUGAAAUGCUUAGAUAUGACGAAGAACUCCGAUGGCGAAGGCAGCUCACUGGACUGCAACUGACACUGAGGCUCGAAAGUGUGGGUAUCAAACAGGAUUAGAUACCCCAGUAGUC